AGCGGAAUUCGUGAGACCGGACAUCAUUCUCAGCGACUGAGAAGGACAGCUCGUGAAACGAUCAUGUUCAUCCUCUAGCUAGGAGUACGUAUGAGGAGGUGACAUACAACACAAGUAUAACUAAUGCUGUUUUCUGUUGGAUAUAAAAGUGAACAGAGUGAGCCCUAAGAGUUCUCAUCCAAAAAAGUACUUUUCUCUAUUUAAUUUUGAAUCCAAAUGAAAUGCUGAACGUUCACUAGACUCCCUGCACUCAUCACUGCAGGAUGGAUGUAAGUGGACUCAUGAUGCUGAACCCCUUAAACUUACCCAGGGCUAUGAGACAAUUCUACUCAUAUCUCAGUAAGACUGGGAAAAAAAAGAGAAACAAAGGCAUGAUCUUCCACUCAGGGUGUCUGAACAAACGAAAGGCAAGCAAGCCUCAAAACUAAUGACUGGCAAACCUGAUCUGUACCCUGGAGCAGGCCCACCGGGGUGACCACUCCAGCUGAAACUGCAAAGCCAACCUUCAUAAUCUAAGCACAAUGAUGAUAUUUUUCCAUGGCCAUUCCAUGUUUUUUUUUGUUUUUUUUUUUUUUUUUUUUUUUUUUUUUUUUUUUUU
rnacentral:sRNA from 1 species